rnacentral:rRNA from 1 species
UACGAAGGGGGCUAGCGUUGCUCGGAAUCACUGGGCGUAAAGCGCACGUAGGCGGCUUUUUAAGUCAGGGGUGAAAUCCUGGAGCUCAACUCCAGAACUGCCUUUGAUACUGGGAAGCUUGAGUCCGGGAGAGGUGAGUGGAACUCCGAGUGUAGAGGUGAAAUUCGUAGAUAUCGUGAGGAAGACCAGUGGCGAAGGCGGAUCUCUGGACAGUUCCUGACACUGAGGCACGAAGGCCAGGGGAGCAAACGGG